GCUUCUGUACAGUGUAUAUAUUGCACAUUCCCCACAGCACUUCAUGUGUUCAAAAUAUGGGUGGGUCUCCUCCAAUCAGGUGAAGUCCUUAAGAGAAAAGAGACUGGAGUCACCAGAGAAAUAGGGAUCUCAGUCUCAGACUGUCUUGGACUUGAGCUACAACAUCAGCUCUUCACUGGGUCUACCUGUGAGAUUGCCAAUUCCACAGAUUUUGAAUUUGCCAGUGUCCAGUCACAUAAACUCGGAGAAGGGACUAAAGAACAGCAAACCUGCAUACCUGCAUAUUGGGUAUGAAAGGGGAUUCCCUAUGAAUUUUGAACUCUAGUACAGUUUUUUUGGCUUCUUUGUCUUUAAAUACAGACCAUGAUCUAUGAAUGUCACGGAAUCAAUUUAGUGAGAUUCAAUCAGCAUUUUUAAAUGAAAGAAUAGAAUAGACAAAAAUACAAGAGUGCCAGGCUGCACUGAAUGCAGGAAGAAAAGAGUACUGAGUUUUGAAACUUUGAUUUCCAAGUGAGGGGAAGGGGGAUGCAUGGGUGUGUUUGGAGGUAUGUAUAUAUACUAUGGCAAAAAAUAAAUCAUUAUUUCUUCUUACCAUGAGUUGCAGCCAAAUAUGUUCAAAAGUUAUCCUAGCUAAACACAUGAGAUUAAAAAAAAGACCAUCCUGAAAAUGGUAUUCAUUUCCUAAUUUGAAUACACUUACUUGUGUUUUUCUCUAACCCUGGAGUUUCCUCCUUUGCCACCCAACAUUCAAGCCUAGCUUAGCUGUCCCUUCAUUUUCUUCUCUUAGGCAGAAUGGACUGUUCUUCGGUGCAUGAAAGCUCACAAAACUGUAUCAUAUUUUUUAAGUAUUAGAUUUAAAGUUCUUUACUGUAAAGGGCAAUGUCUUUCAUUCUCAGCAAUAUGAAUAAAACACAGAGCCUGAUACAUCGUGGGGCUUAAUGUAUGUGCUUGUUUGUUUGUUUAAUUGGGUUACAGCAACUCCCCAUUUUUUACUCAUGAAAUUUUGGUGUUACAAAAUACAAAUUAAGAAUGAAUCACAUCUUCCAUCUUUCUGAAUAAUCACAAAUAUAGUUACUUUAAUAUCUGGUUUAUUGACAUCUAGUCUAGAUGAUACCCUUCCUUGCCAAAAAAGCAGGAAGUCAAACUUUGAAAAUAUCUCUAUUACAUUAGCUUACAUUGUUUAUACAGCUUAUUCUCUUAUCUAUUUUAAUAUUAAAUCGACUUUUCCAAUUCCUAUUUUCACACUUGGUUUUAAUUAAACAGAUUUACUGAACACUUACCAAAAAAUACACUGUUACGGUUUGUU
rnacentral:lncRNA from 1 species